UACAGAGGGUGCGAGCGUUAAUCGGAAUUACUGGGCGUAAAGCGCACGUAGUCGGCUUUGCAAGUCGGGUGUGAAAUCCCCAGGCUCAACCUGGGAACUGCGUCUGAUACUGGAUGGCUUGAAUCCGGGAGAGGGAUGCAGAAUUCCAGGUGUAGCGGUGAAAUGCGUAGAUAUCUGGAGGAAUACCGGUGGCGAAGGCGGCAUCCUGGACCGGCAUUGACGCUGAGGAGCGAAAGCCAGGGGAGCAAACGGG
rnacentral:rRNA from 1 species